CUUAGGAUGAACGCUAGCGACAGGCCUAACACAUGCAAGUCGAGGGGCAGCACAAGGAGCAAUCUGAGGUGGCGACCGGCGCACGGGUGAGUAACACGUAUGCAACCUGCCUGUAAGCGGGGAAUAACCCGUUGAAAGACGGACUAAUACCGCAUAAUACUAAAUUACUGCAUGGUAAUUUAUUUAAACAUUUAUGGCUUACAGAUGGGCAUGCGCAUGAUUAGCUAGUUGGAGAGGUAACGGCUCCCCAAGGCAACGAUCAUUAGGGGUUCUGAGAGGAAGGUCCCCCACACUGGUACUGAGACACGGACCAGACUCCUACGGGAGGCAGCAGUGAGGAAUAUUGGUCAAUGGACGAGAGUCUGAACCAGCCAAGUCGCGUGCAGGAAGAAUGUCCUUAAUGGAUUGCAAACUGCUUUUGCAGGGGAAUAAAGUGCAUCACGUGUGAUGUUUUGUAUGUACUCUGCGAAUAAGGAUCGGCUAACUCCGUGCCAGCAGCGGC
rnacentral:rRNA from 1 species